rnacentral:rRNA from 1 species
GUAGGUGGCAAGCGUUGUCCGGAAUUAUUGGGCGUAAAGCGCGCGCAGGUGGUUCUUUAAGUCUGAUGUGAAAGCCCCCGGCUCAACCGGGGAGGGUCAUUGGAAACUGGGGAACUUGAGUGCAGGAGAGGAAAGUGGAAUUCCACGUGUAGCGGUGAAAUGCGUAGAUAUGUGGAGGAACACCAGUGGCGAAGGCGACUUUCUGGCCUGUAACUGACACUGAGGCGCGAAAGCGUGGGGAGCAAACAGGGAUUAGAUACCCUGGUAGUCCACGCCGUAAACGAUGAGUGCUAAGUGUUGGGGGGGUUUCCCGCCCCUCAGUGCUGCAGCUAACGCAUUAAGCACUCCGACUGGGGAUACGGUCGCAAGACUG